AUUCAUACUCUGCCUUCUGCCUGGACAUCAUCGUCUUUAGAUUCGCCAGGUGGUGCUGCAGCGAGGCCGGAUCUGCUGGCAAGUCACUGGAGGAAGGGAAGCAGUCGCUGUUCUCUGCUGGGACGUGUCCCAUGUUUUCCUGAACCCCCAAAACAUGACUCACAACUGUGUUAGCUUCUUGGGAGUCUUCUGGGUGGAGAGACAGCAACUGUGGAGCUCGGCAGCUGUUUCUCCUGCGAACGUGAAAGCCUUCUCCCGCCGCGAUUACUGCGGGCGUUCCUGUCUGCCACCCUUGCGCCUUCUCCAACCCAUGAGAAACGAUCGCAGUGCGGCUGUUCCCCAGCGCCGGGGCGGCAGCGUAGGUCUCCUGUGCCUCUGCCGAGCUGCGAUGGAGCAGCGCGCAGCCGGCGACCCACGCUCCGAGAGCGGGGAAGGAGCCGGCCUCCCCCGGCCCUGGCAAUCCUCAUGCUCCAAGGAGAUGAUGUGGGGGGAAUCGAGGAGUUAGCAGGGCAUAGAAAAUUCAGAGAGUUGCUUUUAAGGUGCGUCACCUGCGGUGCCGUGCUGGAUUCAAGCGGCACAAGCACGUGUUCAGCCUGGCCUGCAAAGCCUUGGCAGCUCUGUCAUGCAGCAGGGAGCUGCUCCGGCCCUGGAGCUGAGGUGCCGUGGCUGCUCCCAGCCUCUCCUGGGACAUCCUGUGCCUGGACCAGGUUUUCAGUAAGCAGGACAGGGGCCUGCAGACUUGAGAAAAAGCUGGCUGUGGUCUUGUGCCUUUAACGCUAAAACUGCCUGUUGGCACUGGGAUGGCAAACAAAUUUUUCUGACGUUUCAUCACUUUAUGAAAAGUGCGAUACAACUGCUCAGUUGUGCAUCAGUUGUGUGAUAAUAUGACUGUGGGAAAAUCAUCCUAACUUCUAGCUUUUAGUGCUCUUCCCCAUCUCCUUUCUUACACUUCUAAGCACUGGUUUAUACGCUUACAUUAGCGAGCACUUUGGUGGGAGAGAGCGCUCUCAUUUUUGGAUUCUGCGAAGUUGCUUACCUGGGCAUUAACCUGGUACUGACGUGCUGUUAGCAGAUAACGUAGAUGAAAUGAGUAUCCUUCCUGCCUGCUCCCCUCAUGCAAGCUCACCGCUAAGGCUGGUGCUGCUUGAAAGCAACACAAGACUCGUCGGCCCCGUUGCCAUCAUGAACAGGAGCGGAGGAGAAGGAUGUUGCCUUUCCGCUUUCCCGUGGAGGUGAGUGUGCCGGCAGUGGGGGUGGCACCGCAGACCUUGUCGGAAGAAAAACUUACCUGCUCAGAAGCUGAUAAGUCCUGCCGUUGCUGCGUGAACAGCACAGAUGGUGUCGGAGCGGAAAGAGGAAGAUAAUGGCACAAAAUGCUGCUUUGAAGGUUGCUCCGGCAGCCAGGGGCAGAGACAAGGGUCCGGCCGCAGGAGAUAGAUAGCUUCUUCGAGCAGGAGGCUCCAUUCUGUGUUUCCAGAUGACAGUCCCAGGUGCAGGUGUUUCUGUGCACUGCAGCGUGGGCCGGCACCAACCUGCAGAAGGCCUACGCGUGCCUACAGCUCCUCCUGCACUCCUGAAAAUCAUGUCCCGUGAUUCUUCGGACAAUCUUGCAACACCUUUUCCAUAGGGUGACUCUCACAGCUUCUGAGCGUCAGGAUAAGGACUUGGCGUGCUUCAGAGCAACAUAAAAAAGAUAUGGCAGCUGGCAUCUGAUUGACUCCUUGCUUCCUAUGUUAAUUAUAACAUUAAUCAGGCACAGUACCACACAGUAUUGAUUUUUUUUUUCCUACUCCCCCUCUAGAUUUACAUUUAUACAUAUGCGCUGCUCUCCUUUCACCUUCUCCGUGGCUACUCUAGGACAAUUCCUUAUAUUAAUUUCCUGACAAAUUAAAGGUCAAUGAUGAAAAGAGUUGUGUAUUUUUUUUUUCCUUGAGGCAGAGGAAAAACCCUGUUCCAGACUUUAGGCUUGUAUGGAGCUGGGCUGUUUUGAAAAAUUGCUUCUUAUUUUGGCCUGACUUGGAUGGAACUUGUGAUUCUCUGGAAUGACCUGGCCUUGGAACGCAGCGCCGCUGCCCUGUGCGGUUAGAACUCAACAUGCUGGAAAUAGUUCCUCCAAGCAAGUUGUGGGAUUUGGCCUCCCUCGACUCUGGUCUUAUGCCAGCUGCCUGUUUCUGUGCAUCAUUUCUGAUCUCUGAAAGAGAGAACAGAGUAUGCUCAGUUCAUAUUUUGUAAGGUAACACUGGUGCUGUGGACAGAGAAGAUGUGACUGUUCCAAAAAGGAUGUCGAAUUGCCAAAGCAUGUGCAUGUUUGAGAUUACUAGAUAAAAGCUCAUAACUUUCUUGUCCCAAAAGCUGGUGAUAAUUGGGCUCUGUUCUUGUAAACCACAUUUAUCAGCACUUUCUGCUCUUUAACCUGGUGGUAGAGACAAAUUGCUAGCAAGGGCGAAACCACAGUCACCUGCAGGCAGCUGCACCUAGCUUAUGGAAGAGGCGUUGGGCAUCUCCUUAUCCCAGCCACAACUCUUUGGGUGGUGUGUUGAAAUAGCUGUGUGCGGUGUGUGCAGAGAGCCAAGUGCUUCUCGAAAUCUGCUAGAGACAAGCAAAAACCAGAGAGGUGGGGAAAAGUAAUACCUAAAAACCAGCACUGCCUACUCUGAACUCACCUCCUGAUCUCUGAGCUAAUUAUUUAUUGUGCUGGAUAUGUUGAAUAAAUGGAAACAAAGAAAAUCUCUCUCCA
rnacentral:lncRNA from 1 species